UACAGAGGGGGCGAGCGUUGUUCGGAAUUACUGGGCGUAAAGGGCGCGUAGGCGGCCAACUAAGUCAGACGUGAAAUCCCUCGGCUUAACCGGGGAACUGCAUCUGAUACUGGAUGGCUUGAGUUCGGGAGAGGGAUGUGGAAUUCCAGGUGUAGCGGUGAAAUGCGUAGAUAUCUGGAGGAACACCGGUGGCGAAGGCGGCAUCCUGGACCGACACUGACGCUGAGGAGCGAAAGCCAGGGGAGCAAACGGG
rnacentral:rRNA from 1 species